rnacentral:tRNA from 1 species
UAUUAAUUAGUUUAAGUAAAAUAGAAAUUUUGUAAGUUUCAGAUCUAAAAGAAGAAAAAAUU